rnacentral:lncRNA from 1 species
CAAACUUUCAGUAGUGAAUCAGCACAUGAUUUUGCAGUGAAGAAUAAGCUUUUAGCAAGAUCUUGUAAUAGAAACGUCAUCAGGAACUGAAUCAUUGUAAAGACAUGUUACUGGACCUGGCUCUUGGUAGACCCUAAAAUUUAGUGAGAAGAAAGUAAUUCUAGUGGAUUACUCAGAAGAGGUAAAUGGGAACUUCGUGAAGGUAAAUAAAAAUAAUGGAUUGUAUCUGAACAAAGACCCUACAACCAUACUGAGAAUUUAGCCCUGGGGACAUCUUCCGAUAUAAUCUGGCAUAGAAGAGUGGUUAUCACACCUUUAGCAUGGAUAGAAAUGCAAAACAAUAUUUGUAAUAGUCUGUGCUCACGCUGCUAUAAGGACAUACCCAAGACUAGGUAAGUUAUCAAGAAAAAGAGGUUUAAUUGACUCACAGUUCCAUGGCUGGGGAGGCCUCACAAUCAUGGUGGAAGAUGAAGGAGGAGCAAAGUCACAUCUUACAUGGC